AUUGAACGCUGGCGGCAGGCCUAACACAUGCAAGUCGAGCGAGCGGCGGAUGGGUGAGUAAUGUCUGGGAAACUGCCUGAUGGAGGGGGAUAACUACUGGAAACGGUAGCUAAUACCGCAUACCAUCAGAUGUGCCCAGGUGGGAUUAGCUCGUAGGUGGGGUAACGGCUCACCUAGGCGACGAUCCCUUGCUGGUCUGAGAGGAUGACCAGCCACACUGGAACGGAGACACGUACCAGACUCCUACGGGAGGCAGCAGUGGGGAAUAUUGCACAAUGGGCGCAAGCCUGAUGCAGCCGUGCCGCGUGUGUGAAGAAGGCCUUCGGGUUAUAAAGCACUUUCAGCGGGGAGGCGUUACACGCAGAAGAAGCACCGACUAACUCCGUGCCAGCAGCCGCGGUAAUAC
rnacentral:rRNA from 1 species